rnacentral:tRNA from 1 species
AAAAUUUUAGUUUAUAGAAAAUAAUUUAUUUACAAUAAAUGGAAUAAUUAAUAUGAAUUAAUUAAAAUUUUA